rnacentral:SRP_RNA from 1 species
CAGAAGGAUAGGUCUGGGCGGUUAGGCCUCGCCUACAUCGGCAAACGGUCUUUAUGGCCGAACUGAACGCUGCCAGGAGGUUUGGUUUCGUUCGCUGACUCCAAAUUUCCGACUGAGAAGUCUUGCCCCAUGGGGCUGAUUAUUUAGCGAACCUCCCUAGGACCGGAAGGUAGCAAGGAUAAACUAGAUUGUUGGUGCUUGUGGGAUACAGGAUGGAGAAGGUAUUUGGGAUAAGUUAGUGAAUGGCUCUAAAUCAACUGACAGAGCUCCUUCUG